rnacentral:rRNA from 4 species
AAAUUGAAGAGUUUGAUCAUGGCUCAGAUUGAACGCUGGCGGCAGGCCUAACACAUGCAAGUCGAACGGUAACAGGAAGCAGCUUGCUGCUUCGCUGACGAGUGGCGGACGGGUGAGUAAUGUCUGGGAAACUGCCUGAUGGAGGGGGAUAACUACUGGAAACGGUGGCUAAUACCGCAUAACGUCGCAAGACCAAAGAGGGGGACCUUCGGGCCUCUUGCCAUCAGAUGUGCCCAGAUGGGAUUAGCUAGUUGGU